AUCAAAGUCCAGUGGCAAGACAAGAGUCAAGGCAACUGGUGAUGGCUCAUGAUGCAGUGGAAGAUUUUGGUGUUUUCAAUAUCUGACCAAGCUCUAGGUCACAACCCUCCAUAAGCUCUCCACAUGAGAACGGGUAACUUUCCUCAAACCAGCAAGGCAAAUUCCUCAAAGUCCAGUACACACCAGAUGGUUUCUACAGAUGGUAGAUAGCAGCUCUUCUUCACUCACCCAGACAAGUAUUCAAGACACCUGGCUUCAUACUAAGAUGUCUACAUCUACAUUGAGUGUUUGGGGCCAGUUUUGAACUCAGGUGUUCCUAAUUCCAGUUCUAUGCUCUAUCUACUAUGCCAUCUAUCAUCCUCAUCAUCACCAUCAUCAUCUACAUCAUCAUUAUCAUCACCAUCAUCAUCUACAGGUGACCACAGAGGCUUCUGGGCACCAAAUUAAUUGCACUUUGUGUUGGUCUAACCCUGUUCACAAUUUAGCUUCAGUGGAAAUAAUUCAGAUGAGUUACCUGGCAGAGUGAAAUGGAAUGUACCUGUGUCCCCCUGAAUUAAUGCAUCCUUAUUGUUCUUUUCUAUGACUGAGUAAACUCCUCUUUGCUAAUUA